AAACAAUGAUAUAAAGGAAAGAACCAACUGCUAUGUUUAGUAGCCAUGAAGUGGAACUGCCCAGAAUAGCUGAGGCAACUACGGCAAGGGAAACAUAUUUACGUAUAUCAUACUGUAUGUUUUCCUGCCGUAUAUGAUACAACUUCAUACAAGUAAAAACGUUUUCCCUUGCCGUAGUUGCCUCAGCUAUAGAUACCACUGCAUACUAUAUGAGGUUCAUAAAAAUGUAUGGAAUAAUUUGUUACAUCAGCUACAUGACCUUGAGAAUCUAAGACAAAAACAUGCAAUCUCGAUACCUGAGUUAUUCAAUACAGGAAAAUGUGUACAUCUUACACUAUUCUUAACACAUUUGCCACGAAACAAAAUCACUCUACCCUCUGCAGUUGCAGUGAAGAGCUGAAUCGAAAAACACAAGAUGGGGGAGGGGGGCUGUGAUGUCACAGAAUUGGUCUUUGAAUAUACAUCUACAGCGAAUGUGUUGACACACUUUUCUUAGAC